rnacentral:rRNA from 1 species
GAUGAACGCUGGCGGCGUGCCUAAUACAUGCAAGUCGAGCGAACGGACCAGAAGCUUGCUCCCCUGAUGUUAGCGGCGGUCGGGAGAGUAACAUGUGGAUAACCUACCUAUAAGACUGGGAUAAUUUCGGGAAACCGGAGCUAAUACCGGAUAAUAUUUUGACUCGCAUGGUUCAAAAGUGAAAGACGGUCUUGCUGUCACUUAUAGAUGGAUCCGCGCUGCAUUAGCUAGUUGGUAAGGUAACGGCUUACCAAGGCAACGAGGCAUAGCCGACCUGAGGGGGACGAUGCCCACACGGGAUGUGAGAAAGAUCCGAGACACCUGGAGUGAGACGCGGUAGAGACUCUUACGCGAGGGAGGAGUGCGGAACAGAGCAACGCCGGGGAAAGGAUGAAGGUCUACGGACGGGAGAGCUCUGUUGGUAGGAGGGUAGUAAAGCUUAAUUAACUGUGAUCAUAAUGACGGUACCUGGUCAAUAAGCCACGGCUAACUACGUG